rnacentral:tRNA from 1 species
CCCUGGGUGGUGCAAACGGUUAACAUGCUUGGCUGCUAACCAAAAGAGUAGAGGUUCAAGUCCACCCAGGGG